ensembl:lncRNA novel transcript
AGAGAAAGCAAGAGAAGGUGGAUGAGAAGGGAGGCAGGGGAACUGCAAGCCUUCAGUCCUUGUACCUUUUAGGAUGUAGGGACACCCAGAGAACAGCCCUCAAUAAGAUCUGGAAAGAAGAGCUGUCACCACAGACUUAGAAAGUAGGUGUAUUUUUUUACAAAUCCAAAAUUCCUAUAUCCCAUAAUCAUAGGUGUGUGUUGAGCAGGGCAGAUUUCCUUUCCUAAUCUCUGUUUUCUCUUUCAGAAUAAUAGGUUAUUCCCCUGUCCUGAGUUCUGCUUGAAAAACUGAGAGUUCUAGAACUUUGCAAAAGCUCCUCUAUUGUUCCAAGAUGAGCAUUUUUCUGGGGUGAACUGGGCAGAGGUUUGACUGGCAAGCAGCUCUGGGUGUACAUUUCAUCCAAGAGUCUCAUGGUGGUCGAAGGAGAUCCCCAGAUGCAAAAUCAAAGUUGCUUGGAUUUCCAUUUCUUCCCCAUCUAGGAAAAGGGCAAUGGAAUCAAAGCCUUUAAAAAAUGUAGUAAGAGAAAGACUCUCUAAUUGAUCAGAACCUUCUGGCAACCAGCACUUUGGCCCAUCUACUGAAAAAUACUUUAUCAGUGUCUUUAGUAAAGGCCCCCAAGAUGCACAAUACAUUUUUGGUUGUUGAAAUAGAGUGUCUUCUAAGUCAUCAAGUAAAAGAGAAAUUCUGCUCAGAAGACUUUUGGAUAGUACCCAACAUUUGGUGAGGCUUACUAUAUUACAUGCAUUACCUCGCUAAAUCACCACAUUAGAACACUUACAGCUACCUCAGGCCUGAUCCCAGCUGCCAGACUCCAACGGAGUCAGAUCCUCAAAUUGCCAGGAGAUCGCUAUCCAAACUGUCACCCCCUGAUCAGAAAAGAAGGAGUUAUGUAAGUAACUGACAGCACCUGAGCGAUCUCUCAUUUGGAUUAAAUCAAGUUCUUUAAAUAUU